rnacentral:tRNA from 1 species
CAGAAAGUAGUUUUAGAAUAAUAAUUUUGGAGAUUAUAGGAGAUUGGAAAGUCCUUUCUGA